rnacentral:rRNA from 1 species
GGCGGCGUGCCUAACACAUGCAAGUCGAACGGGAAUCUUCGGAUUCUAGUGGCGGACGGGUGAGUAACGCGUAAGAAUCUAACUUCAGGACGGGGACAACAGUUGGAAACGACUGCUAAUACCCGAUGUGCCGCAAGGUGAAACCUAAUUGGCCUGGAGAAGAGCUUGCGUCUGAUUAGCUAGUUGGUGGGGUAAAGGCCUACCAAGGCGACGAUCAGUAGCUGGUCUGAGAGGAUGAGCAGCCACACUGGGACUGAGACACGGCCCAGACUCCUACGGGAGGCAGCAGUGGGGAAUUUUCCGCAAUGGGCGAAAGCCUGACGGAGCAACGCCGCGUGGGGGAGGAAGGUCUUUGGAUUGUAAACCUCUUUUCUCAAGGAAGAAGUUCUGACGGUACUUGAGGAAUCAGCCUCGGCUAACUCCGUGCCAGCAGCCGCGGUAAUACGGGGGAGGCAAGCGUUAUCCGGAAUUAUUGGGCGUAAAGCGUCCGCAGGUGGUCAGCCAAGUCUGCCGUCAAAUCAGGUUGCUUAACGACCUAAAGGCGGUGGAAACUGGCAGACUAGAGAGCAGUAGGGGUAGCAGGAAUUCCCAGUGUAGCGGUGAAAUGCGUAGAGAUUGGGAAGAACAUCGGUGGCGAAAGCGUGCUACUGGGCUGUAUCUGACACUCAGGGACGAAAGCUAGGGGAGCGAAAGGGAUUAGAUACCCCUGUAGUCCUAGCCGUAAACGAUGGAUACUAGGCGUGGCUUGUAUCGACCCGAGCCGUGCCGAAGCUAACGCGU